rnacentral:lncRNA from 1 species
UUGUGGAGGUCCCGAAAGCGAGUAGCCUCCGUAGUGACUUCCGAAUGGCUCUUCCUUAGCCGGUGAAGUUCGUCAUCCAGCUUCUUUGAUUUCUUUGUUAAGUGACAAACUUCUCUUCUGAGAUCUCGGAUCAUCGACUUCAUGGGAAUCCCCUAUGUUAGGGGAAGAGCUUUGGCAGGACACUGUCGUUGGAAGAUAAGAGCACCACAACACAAGUUAGUGCCAGAAAACAAAAGAAAAGAAAAUGAAGGCAGAGUAAGACAAAGGAGCUCUCUGUAAAGGAGAAUCCGAUUUUAUUGAUUAAAUAGUUCUUAAGUACAAGAGAACGAGGAAAAGUUACAACAAAAAAAAAAAGAGAAGAAGAGAAGAAUACAGAAUUAGAGGUUUCGGACCUCUGGGGCAAAAGUGGGGGAUCUCGGCACCCCCGGAAGAUCGAUCGUGGUAGUCGGGGAAGUCUCGGCUAGAGGAAAACCGGCAGCAGCUUUAGAGGGUCCAGCUUCACCAUCGGAUGCCCCAUCC